AGAAGAAGCUGAAGCUGAAGCUGAAGCCUUUACAAUAACCCUUCUUGAUUUCUCAAGAUUCAAUCUUUUCCCUCCAAGAUUCAAGCUUUUUCCAAGAUUUGUGGAUUUUAGUGAUGUUUGAGUGAAAUGAAGAGAUUGGGUGAUGGAAAUACGUGGUUUUUGAGAUGGGGUUGGCCGGAGACGAAGGUUGACGGCUGAGGUUAAGGCCAAAGACGCCAUCUUUUUGAUCUGUGAACACACACAGAGAGAAGAGGAGCAAAUCUGACAG
rnacentral:misc_RNA from 1 species